rnacentral:lncRNA from 1 species
CGCUUAUCGUCUGAGGUAAAGGAGUCAUCUUGUAGAUUCCAACUUGACUUGGGAGGUAUUGAAAAAGGUCAUCUCGCUCGGACGAAGUAUAGAUACAUGGCCAUGAGUGAUCACAGAGGUGCCAUGCUCAGAGCACUGUUUGGCUUCAAUAAGAGUUUCUAAUGGUGUUACUAUGGGCUAUGUACUUUCGAGAGGGAUAGCCACAUGAUAACCAUGGCCCUC